AAUAUGGCACAAUGGAGGGAACUCUGAUGCAGCAACGCCGCGUGAGUGAAGAAGGAUUUCGGAUCGUAAAACUCUGUCAUUGGGGAAGAAUAAAUGACGGUACCCAAUGAGGAAGCUUCGGCAAACCACGUGCCAGCAGCCGCGGUAAUACGUAGGGGGCGAGCGUUGUCCGGAAUUACUGGGCGUAAAGGGUGCGUAGGCGGCCUUUUAAGUCAGGUGUGAAAGCCCACGGCUUAACCGUGGGAUUGCAUUUGAAACUGGAAGGCUUGAGUAUCGGAGAGGGUAGUGGAAUUCCCAGUGUAGCGGUGGAAUGCGUAGAUAUUGGGAGGAACACCAGUGGCGAAGGCGACUACCUGGACGAAAACUGACGCUGAGGCACGAAAGCUAGGGGAGCAAACA
rnacentral:rRNA from 1 species